rnacentral:miRNA from 1 species
UCUAGAUCCAACGGACCAAAA